UACAUGUGGGGCAAGCGUUGUUCGGAAUUACUGGGCAUAAAGGGUGCGUAGGCGGUUUGUUAAGUCACUGGUGAAAGUUUUCGGCCCAACCGGAAAAUUGCCUGUGAUACUGGCGAACUUGAGUGCGUGAGGGGUGGGGGGAACGAGCAGUGUAGCGGUGAAAUGCGUAGAUAUCAGGAGGAACACCGGUGGCGAAGGCGGGUCUCUGGGCCGAUACUGACGCUGAGGAGCGAAAGCGUGGGGAGCGAACAGG
rnacentral:rRNA from 1 species